GUGUAAUGAUGUAAAUUAUUUAAUUACUCUGAUCCCUGAUGUUCUCAAAGGAACCACUGAUGCAC